rnacentral:rRNA from 1 species
UACGUAGGCAGCGAGCGUUGUUCGGAGUUACUGGGCGUAAAGCGUGCGUAGGCGGUGGCCCAAGUCUGGUGUGAAAUCUCCCGCUUAACUGGGAGGGUGCGCCGGAAACUGGGUUGCUGGAGUACCGGAGAGGCAAGCGGAAUUCCUGGUGUAGCGGUGAAAUGCGCAGAUAUCGGGAGGAACACCGGUGGCGAAGGCGGUUCUCUGGGCCUGUACUGACGCUGAGGAGCGAAAGCGUGGGGAGCGAACAGG